rnacentral:rRNA from 1 species
CCUACGGGGGGCAGCAGUGGGGAAUUUUGGACAAUGGGCGCAAGCCUGAUCCAGCAAUGCCGCGUGCAGGAUGAAGGCCUUCGGGUUGUAAACUGCUUUUGUACGGAACGAAACGGUGAGCUCUAAUACAGUUUGCUAAUGACGGUACCGUAAGAAUAAGCACCGGCUAACUACGUGCCAGCAGCCGCGGUAAUACGUAGGGUGCGAGCGUUAAUCGGAAUUACUGGGCGUAAAGCGUGCGCAGGCGGUUAUGUAAGACAGAUGUGAAAUCCCCG